UACGUAGGGUGCAAGCGUUAUCCGGAUUUAUUGGGUGUAAAGGGUGCGUAGACGGGAUAUUAAGUUAGUUGUAAAUCCCUCGGCUUAACUGAGGAACUGCAACUAAAACUGGUAUUCUUGAGUGUUGGAGAGGAAAGUGGAAUUCCUAGUGUAGCGGUGAAAUGCGUAGAUAUUAGGAGGAACACCGGUGGCGAAGGCGACUUUCUGGACAAUAACUGACGUUGAGGCACGAAAGUGUGGGGAGCAAACAGG
rnacentral:rRNA from 1 species